rnacentral:rRNA from 1 species
CAGCCGCGGUAAUUCCAGCUCCAAUAGCGUAUAUUAAAGUUGCUGCAGUUAAAAAGCUCGUAGUUGAAUUUCGGGACCACUAUGUCGGUCGUGCUUCGGUACGUACUGUCAUUAUUGGUUUCUCCCUUCUGAAGAACCUUGAUGUCAUUAAUUUGGUGUCUUGGGGAAUCAGGACUGUUACUUUGAAAAAAUUAGAGUGUUUAAAGCAGGCUCGCGCUUGAAUACAUUAGCAUGGAAUAAUGAAAUAGGACGUUUGAUUCUAUUUUGUUGGUUUCUAGGAUCGACGUAAUGAUUAAUAGGGAUAGUUGGGGGCAUUAGUAUUCAAUUGUCAGAGGUGAAAUUCUUGGAUUUAUUGAAGACUAACUACUGCGAAAGCAUUUUGCCAAGGAUGUUUCAUUAAUCAAGAACGAAAGUUAGGGAUCGAAGACGAUCAGAUACCGUCGUAGUCUUAACCAUAAACUAUGCCGACUAGGGAUCGGAUGAUGUUAAUUUAUAAUGACUCAUUCGGCGCCUUACGGGAAAC